rnacentral:rRNA from 1 species
GACGAACCGUGCGAACGUUAUUCGGAAUCACUGGGCUUAAAGGGUGCGUAGGCGGGUCCUCAAGUCAGGGGUGAAAUCCCACGGCCCAACCGUGGAAGUGCCUCUGAUACUGAAGGCCUCGAGGGGGAUAGGGGCGUGCGGAACUCAGGGUGGAGCGGUGAAAUGCGUAGAUAUCCUGAGGAACACCGGUGGCGAAAGCGGCGCGCUGGAUCCCUUCUCGACGCUGAGGCACGAAAGCC